UGGAUUUCUAAAUAAUUACAUGGUAUCAGAACGUAUGAUUAAUCACUAAUCAAUCAUUAGUUUAGAUAAACGAUCUACAACUAUCUUAAGAUUCCGCUAAGAAAUAGUCAUUUCUGGUGUUCGUAUAUUCUUGGUAUAUUCUGUAUAUUGAAUUCUUGCUUUAAUAACUAUUAAUUUUCAAAGUUCAAAAUGACAAACAACAACAAUGUCAAUGGCAAUAUCUCAUCUGGUGUGACCGCUACAAUGGCUGCAGGCCAGGGUCCGACUGAAAACAACACAAACUCACAAGCUGGAGCAACUCAGACACUCGAGCAUAGCCACCCUCUCUUCUUGAGCAAUGCUGAUGUCCUAGUACAAGUACUGAAUCUGGUUCAGACAGACAAAUAGCAAAUCCUGAAAAUGCUGAUCAAGGAGAUCAAAUAGAUCAAAUGGUACCUAUUUCUGUACCUAAUGUCAUGGAUGAACCUCCACAUGAACAACAUGUUCAACCAGCUCAAUCACAAGGAUAACAAUCUUAAUAAGAGCAUUCUCUAGAGGCAAAUAACCACCUAAAUAGACUAAGGACUUUGUGUCCUUGACUGCACUACAUUAGGAUACUCCUUACUCUAUUUCAAAUUAUGUAUCAUACGAGAAUUUAUCUAAAAAAUACAAAUGUUACUUAUCUA